CUACCAAGGCAAUGAUCUAUAGCUGAUCUGAGAGGAUGAUCAGCCACACUGGAACUGAGAUACGGUCCAGACUCCUACGGGAGGCAGCAGUGGGGAAUAUUGGACAAUGGGCGAAAGCCUGAUCCAGCCAUGCCGCAUGAGUGAAGAAGGCCUUCGGGUUGUAAAGCUCUUUUAGUGAGGAAGAUAAUGACGGUACUUACAGAAGAAGUCCUGGCUAACUCCGUGCCAGCAGCCGCGGUAAUACGGAAAGGGCUAGCGUUAUUCGGAAUCAUUGGGCGUAAAGGGCGCGUAUGCGGACUAGUAAGUUAAAAGUGAAAUCCCAAGGCUCAACCUUGGAAUUGCUUUUAAAACUGCUAAUCUAGAGAUUGAAAGAGGAUAGAGGAAUUCCUAGUGUAGAGGUGAAAUUCGUAAAUAUUAGGAGGAACACCAGUGGCGAAGGCGUCUAUCUGGUUCAAAUC
rnacentral:rRNA from 1 species